GAGUUUUAAGCAGCCCUCUCGCUAGUGUGACAGGACUUCGUGGCCGCAGAGGAGGGGGGAGCCGUGCGGCGCGCACGUUCCCUCCCUCGGUGCCUCGCGUCGCCCCGUGGGCGAUGUGACACCACAGGGGGCUGCAGGGCCGGCAGCCGAAUUCACGCCAUCACCCCCCACUAAUCGAGCCUGGAGCGGUAGUCUCGUACACCCAGAUAAAACACUGCCCAGGCUGAAGGGCGCGAGUGUAUUACCAUAGCCACAAACACUCCGAUUCUCACAGCAGGGCCUCUCCAAAGUGUCACCCCUUGCCUAGCACCCGUCCCCGCGCGGCUCUCGGCUGGCGGAGGCUGCUGCCUGAAGUACAGGUUUCCCCACAGAGGGGCCCCUGUAGCUUGGCAUUCUCGGUCUGUUUGGACUCUGUGUACUUAAGUUGGAGAAAGGGUCAGGAUUUCAUACUGAGAUUAUGUGCGUUUCUUGAAAACAGCUCGAUACAUUUCAGUGACUAAGAAGAGGCCGAACUUGGGACCAUCACUACUGAACUGCAAACCAGUAAACAUUUUAUUCUCUGUCUCUGAAAAGAAACAGAUGAAUUUAAAAAUUAACUUCUGAAUAUUACACUUGCUUCAAUUUAGAAGGUAUUAAAGGAGUGGGUAAAAUUAAACUGAAGAGCAGUGUUUCCCUUCUGUCGUGAAGCUCUUAUAAACCCAUCUCAGCUUGUUCUACCAACCCGUCCUUUAUAACUAUUACCUUAAUUAUUUUGUUUCUGGAUUCUGACAUUAUCUUCAGUCAGACUCUUCAUCAGCUCUUCAUUAAUUCAUUAUUUUUGUCCCAAAGAAUGUUGAAGAGCUCCAUUUUAAUUGUGUGAUAUCUUGAAAUUAAGUCACAUUUUAUAGAUUCUUGCUAAGCCAAAGGUCCCUUGGUUUCUCCUCUAGCCAGAUACUAACUGUUAAAUAUUUUCUGAUGCUAAUCCAGUUUCAGUGGCUGAUGAAAGACUUUAAAAACAUAUCCUGGAUAUGAACGUCAGAGUCUAAAAUCUUUUGAUGUUGUCUUCAGUGAUGAAAAGAUCUGUCCAAAACCAGAACAUAACAAUUCAACAAAAGUAAACUCUUCUAUAAUGUAGUUGAUAGGCUUGAUCAUAGUGGUUGGAGGUAUACAGACCUACUCUCCUGUUACACCUGUAUAUCCUUUUUUUGAAUGCGGGAUAAUUCAGGUGUGGUUGAACCCUUCUGCAGAGAAACAGAAAAAGAGAAAAUCCAAAGGAGCAAAUUGUAUGUUUUCUUAUCCUCCAUGGAACUUAAGCAGAUCUCCUGCUGGAGAAAGAAGGAUGGAAAUGGCAAUUUUGACAAGCAGCUUUAUUCUUCUGGCUGUCACUAUUUGUAAUGUGGCAGUAAUUAGAUUGCAGUGGUUAUGCACUAUCUCAAAUGUAGAAUGGUAUGAUACAGAAAGCCCUGCUUAGCGAUGCAUCUUUCCAUCUCUUUUCUGGCUUUGACUGAAGAGGAAAAUAGGUCAUGCCAAUUUGAGAUUUCAAUCCCUGCACCAAAAAAUUAGCUCCUUGCUGGUAUUCCUAAUUGCCACUCAUCCUCAGCCCCUCAGUCCUAAAGUAAUGCAGGAACAGGUGAUGAGGCUACUGUAAUGACAGAUGCCCAUUUCUUCGUUGGUACUGCAUGUGUCUUGUGAAUGCCCUGAUACAACGGGACAUACAUGCAUGUUUACUAAUAUUAAAAUCACUUAGCACCUAAUCACAAAGUACAUCUCAGGCCAAAAGUAUAAAUACAGUCAAAUAUAUAUAUAUUUAAAAAUCACUAAACAGUAGGUGAUAACCAGUGGGAUGCAUGCCUGGCAGAUAAUUUGCUCUAACACCCUUGAUGAUGCAAAACUAAAAAGCAAACUAAAUUCAAAGAGGACAAAAAUAAAGUGAGAGAUGGGUUAGAUUUCAGAUGAGGUCAGCUGAUUGCUAAUAUCUUAAAUCCUGCUUUGUGUGCCAGAAGCUAAGCCAUAAUGUUAUCAUUAUAUGCAGAGUUGGUAGAAGAAAGAAUAGCAGCAGUAGUGAAGCAAGAAUUUGAGUAUUGACUUCCAGGUGCAUGGAAUAACUCUGUGAUACAAUAGAAGUGGUCUUUGGUGCACAAAAUAUUUAUGUACUAUGCAGUCAGUGAGACAAGGGAGGGAAAAAAUAUUUUUCAGUUAUUUCUAUCUUUCAUCGUUGCCAAUAAGGGAGUUUAAAAAAGAACAUUUUAAAUAAAAUAUAAAUAAUUCAGAGUAAAUUGUAAUCCAAAUGUAUUUUUUUCAGGCAGACUUGCAGAAAUGAAGAGGUUUUUAUUGAAUGCUAAAACAAACUUAGAGUCACCUGAGAAUGAAGCAGUGUAAUUUACACAAAGCAGUUUAGCACAAAAUGAUCCUCAAUGAUCCAACUUCUUUAGUAAGCAGACAUAAAAUCAUUGGACUUCAAAAUUAUGUUAAUAAAUUAAUGAUCAAAUAUGAACUAUCAAGAGUGAGAUUGAUUUAUAUUCAAGCAUUUUUUUUUUCCCUGGGAAAAAAAAGGAAUUGAAAAUUUUAAUGUCAGUUUUGUAAUAGUAAAGAAUAUACACCCUGGAGAACAAGAGAACUACUGUUUAGUUUCCCUUUUUACACUUGCAUUCAUUUUGAGUGCACAGAAUUUUUCCUGAAUAUGACUGUAUGCCAUGCCCUUUUCAAAUUUGCAAACACACUUCUAAACAACAGCAAGAAUUGAAAAAUAUAACACACACACACCAGAACCAUUCCAGUUUAGGACUGAGAAUCAGUUGUUUUCUAAAGGAUCUAAAUGAAAAAUUUACAGUUUAAAAAAAAUCUGCUGCUAUAAAUGAAGUGAAAAUACUUUAUCAGAGAGUGUGGUAGUAUAGGAAUUACUAAAUCAUUUUUCUUUCAGCUAGUUUUUGUUGUUUUUCUGUUUUUUGUCGUUGUUUUUUCCAAACAGCCUGCUAUAUAGUGUAUAGAAAGAGGCUUCAAACAUUAAUUAUCCAUUGAGAUAAAAAUUCUGUUAUUAGCUUAGAAUCAUUUUACCUUGCGAGUACAAUAAUAUUUGCAGAUUCAAAAUUGAUUGGAAGUGGUAGUUUUCAGAGUGAAGGCUAUUGUAUAAACUUCAUGAAUGUAAAACAACACCAGUAAGUAUUGCUUAAAUAAAUGUAACUUUUACCACAAUUUUGUAAAUAAACAACUGCUGAUACGAUCUUUUUCUUUUCCUACAGAACAAGCCUACUUUCUUCAAACAGUGCUUGACACAAAGAAAAACAGUGAGGGCGUAACGCUUCAGGUUAAUAAAACUAAAAGAUAGCAGCUGUAGCUGCCGCCUUGCACAGAGGCAAGAUACUGCUCCCUACUGUAAGAAACUGCAUUGGAGCCUUAACGUAAGAAUAACCGCGUUGUCUGCAGAAAAGAGAAGCCAUAUCGAUUUUUCUUCAUUUACCCCAAACUGCUGUGUAAGCAUGUUGUUACAACAGAAAUGUACAUUGAAGCACAGUAGCUAUUAGAACUGUUUCAACAAAUGGCAGUGACAUACUAUUUUUCUAGAAACAAUGAGGCUGUCUACCUUGAGUAUACAUAGCAUAACUUAACUACCACAAAGCGAAGAAAAAGUUCUCUUUGAAAUUCAGAACUCUUGCAUCAUCACAGAUCAAUUAUAACAAAACUAACCCAAUAAAAACACAGUGAAUCAUAACACAAAUGCAAGAUUUUUUGAAAGAAUGUGUUAUAAAGUUAGCUUACAGUUAGAAUGCAAGUCUGCUCUAAGGUAAGCUCUCACCUUUAUGUGAGGUAUUGCAGAUAGGGGUUUUGUAUUUAGACUGCCUAGGAUGAAUGCUAGAUUUUGCAAAGUACAGUGAUGUUUUUUCACAGUGAAUAAGGUUGCUGUGAUGUUUCUUAAACAAGUCCAUUCACUUGAGUGUGGGCUCUGGCUCUUUGGUAUCACCAGUGAAGCUCCUAGAUGUACCAUGGAAUAGUUCCCUUAGAUCCCAUGGAGGAUGUAGGUAGUGUCAGACUGCUAUUAUUUACCAUCCUGAUUUUACCCCUGUACAAACCACUUACUGAUUGCUGCCACUAGGCAACGCAAUGGUAAACAUAAAAAUGCUGCUCGGAGGCAGCUCUGCCUGAAAUGGUGGCGGGUGUGUGCUAUUCCAGGUUUUUUUAGUGCUAUUACAUUGAUAUUGAGUACUGUCCUGCUUUGAGCCAGGAGUAACAAUAUGGUUAUAUUUAACAUCCAGUUUUUUUUUUUUUCUCUCAGCAUGUUUUUCAGACUGGUUUAAACAUACAUGCUGUUUUGAAAGAUGUGUUUGCAUCUCUCUGGAAUUCCUCCCUCUUUUUUUGAUGACGUGGUGAUAUCGCUAGGUUUGUGUCUCUGCUGCAUUGUGAAAAGCGUCCAGGAAGAGAACCAUCAGGAUAAAGAGAAAAAAAAUUAAGCUUGUAUGGGAAGCUGUGACUAGAUGCUGUUGUUUUAGAGGUCUUAUAAUGUAAAUGUCGUACAGUUGAAGUCCCAUACUCUUUGGUAUGUUCAGCUGUUUUGCACUGCUUCAAGUAAGCAAAACAGCUGUAAACCUAGCUUAGCUCUCCAAUUAAGCUGAAUUUAUGGCAUCUUUACAAUACCAGUGCACAACAAAGCAGCUGGAGACAUCAAGUAAUUCUGAUCCGAGCAAUCCCUUUUUAGGGCUUUAUUUGGCAUUCUUUAGUCAGGCAAAACUUUGCCAGUUUGCCUAAGAUUAAAUUUAGAGGCCUCUGAGAGGCCUCUGAAGAUUAAACAAAAUUAUACCAUAGAACACAUGUUCAUAAAUGCAUAGACUUUAGAUGUUUCAGUGUAACAUUAUAUUUUGAGCAGAUUAAUCCAAUUUGGGUGCCUAGUGAACUCAGAACUCUCACUAAUUUCUGUAAUUACCAGGAUUGCAUCUUCAUUAAUCUUGCCUCUUACAUUUUUCCUUUUUUUUUUUUUUUAACAAAGAAGUAAAUUGAUUUUUCUUUCCAAAAUAAAUUUAAUAAUUGCAUUCUGCCACAGUUCUUACACGUGUGAAUUCUAUUUGUGGAUGACAAAUCUCCUUUUGCCCUUAGCUACAAGAGUCCUGAAAUAUGGUCCUGAAAUGCGGUCCUGAAAUACCUGUUUAUAAAAAGAAGCCACAGACAUUAGUAUGCUGAUGUAAAGCUCAGCUCCUUAGUGCUUUUCUUUACGAUUGUCAGCACAGAGGACAAUUUGAAAUAAUUAUUACUUUCUCUUUGCAUCUGUUGUGUAUUACGAGUCAGCUGCUUUUAAGUAGACCCAAACAGCAGAGCCUGCUUGUUCGUUCAGGGUGAGACUCCCUUGAUCUCAUAGGCAAGAUCUGUACUAACAAAUGUAACGUUAGGGUUAGUCACAGGUCUGAGAGCAGGUACCUAUGGCUAAACUCUCUUCUGCCCCCCAAAAAAAAGAAAAAAAAAAGGUGAUCUGGUCAAUCCUGAAUACUGGGAACAAACCCUGCCAUGUACCAGCAUCGGGACUGUGUCCAGGAGCUGACUGGCAGAGUGCUUGUUGCCUCAGGCCAGAGCUGUGCCUGCUAGUCUCAUGCUGCAAAGCAGAAUAGUUGCUGCUGUUGUAUGCUGGUGUUUGUGCCUACACCUUCCCCCGUUUAGCACUCUGCACCUGUAGCUGUGCAGUAAUGCAGUUACAAUUGCAUGAAAGCAGUGCAUUUAGCAGUGAGGCUACAAAUACUAAACAAGAAGUUGCAAGUUGAAAAUAAACAGGCUCAUUAGUCCAACUCAGGAAAGAGGCUGGUCCAUGUUGGGAUUGUUUCUGGGGCUUAUUUCAUGCUCCAGUGUGCCAUGACCAGGGUCCAGCAGAUGGAUCUCGCCUGUGCUUGGGGACUACCCUUGUCACUGACCUACAGCAUCAGCUUCAUAAAUUCAUGUGAGAAUGAGUUGUAUGUAUUUAUAUUGCUAUACAUGCAAAAAUCCUGAAUUACUUUAGAAGCAGUGCCUUGGUCCAGAGCUUUCAUUUUGAGUCUCUUCCUUUGGAGAUGCUGUUCCAUCCGUAUAUAAACCUGAAUUUAGCAAUUAAACCAGUACUUCUGCUUCCUGGGUCCAUAAGAAAUACAAGACUGGGUUCAAUCAUACAUGUACAAGACUGGGUUUAGAAGUUCUCUCUUUGGGAAGAUUUGAUUCCAGAAUUCCAGUUCUAACAUUUCUCUGAUAAUCUGAAGUCUGCUACAUGAGUAUGCUGUAUUAUACAU